rnacentral:rRNA from 1 species
CAGUAGCCGCGGUAAUACGUAGGGUGCAAGCGUUAAUCGGAAUUACUGGGCGUAAAGCGUGCGCAGGCGGUUCGUUAAGACAGAUGUGAAAUCCCCGGGCUCAACCUGGGAACUGCAUUUGAGACUGUAUGGCUAGAGUGUGUCAGAGGGGGGUAGGAUUCCACGUGUAGCAGUGAAAUGCGUAGAUAUGUGGAGGAAUACCGAUGGCGAAGGCAGCCCCCUGGGAUAACACUGACGCUCAUGCACGAGAGCGUGGGGAGCAAACAGGAUUAGAUACCCCCGUAGUCCCUGUCUCUUAUAC